rnacentral:rRNA from 1 species
GACGAACGCUGGCGGCGUGCUUAACACAUGCAAGUCGAACGGAAAGGCCCCGCUUUUGCGGGGUGCUCGAGUGGCGAACGGGUGAGUAACACGUGAGUGACCUGCCCUUGACUUUGGGAUAACUUCAGGAAACUGGGGCUAAUACCGGAUAGGAGCGCCUGCUGCAUGGUGGGGGUUGGAAAGUUUAGGCGGUUGGGGUUGGACUCGCGCCUUAUCAGCUUGUUGGUGGGGUAGUGGCUUACCAAGGCUUUGGCGGGUAGCCGGCCUGAGAGGGUGACCGGCCACAUUGGGAUUGAGAUACGGCCCAGACUCCUACGGUAGGCAGCAGUGGGGAAUAUUGCACAAUGGGCGGAAGCCUGAUGCAGCCACGCCGCGUGCGGGAUGACGGCCUUCGGGUUGUAAACCGCGUUCGCCUGUGACGAAGCGUGAGUGACGGUAAUGGGAGAAGAAGCACCGGCUAACUACGUG